rnacentral:misc_RNA from 1 species
GAAAUGCGAUAAGUAAUGUGAAUUGCAGAAUUCAGUGAAUCAUCGAAUCUUUGAACGCACAUUGCGCCCCUUGGUAUUCCGGGGGGCAUGCCUGUUCGAGCGUCAUUUCAACCCUCAAGCUCUGCUUGGUAUUGGGCACCGUCCUUUGCGGGCGCGCCUCAAAGACCUCGGCGGUGGCGUCUUGCCUCAAGCGUAGUAGAAUACACCUCGCUUCGGAGCGUAAGGCGUCGCCCGCCGGACGAACCUUCUGAACUUUUCUCAAGGUUGACCUCGGAUCAGGUAGGGAUACCCGCUGAACUUAA